AUGUGUCUUUUAGUUUAUUUUUUGGAGGUGGAGCGCAGCUGAUUUCCUUAGAGGCAGGACUUUCUCACUUACAUGUGUGAGCAAAUAACCCUGCCUGUAAGUGUUCUCUAUAUCAAGGGCUGUCUGCAGACUCCAUAUACAUUCAUGGGAGCUCCUCUCUAAGCCUUCUCUCCUCUGAUUAAACCCAGCACACAAGUCUUCUUUUUCAGAAAUGCAUCUGUGGCAGCCUGCAAUCAUUUAUUCUGUUAUUUUUGGGUUUUCCAAGGCUGAUAAAGUCUCCCAGCAUUCCUUUGUGUCAGUUCAGAAUGGGGAAAAGGUCACUUUAAACUGUACAUAUGAAACAGCAUCCAGCGAGCCAUCCCUGCACUGGUAUAUCCAACGGCCGGGAGUGAGACCUCACUUUAUCCUACUCAGGCGUCAGUUCAGCAAGGAAGAGGAUGAACCUGGUGGAAAGUAUUCAUCAAAAGUGAACAAGGAGAGCAAAUCCAUUGAUCUGAGGAUCUCUGGUGUCAGUGUGUCUGACUCUGGGCUGUAUUAUUGUGCUGUGAGUUCCACAGUGUCUCUCUCUGCUGCCUCCUCUGUACAAGAAGCUCUGGUGCUCUCCAUGGUGCUGUUAUAAAUGACUCUAUAUAUAUGUAUGUGUCUAUGCAGCACUUAAUAGACAGCAAAUCAAGAGACAGUUUUUAUGUUUUUCACCUCCUAAGAGUAGGACAUCUUUUGUGAAACACACACACGAGUAAAUAGCUUGAAACAUUAAUUUUCUAAAGAAAUGGGUGAUGCAUGAUAAAAUUAAAUUACAUAACAGCAUAAUGCUGUUCAUUAGCACUUUUUAUAAAUGCAAAACAAUAUAUACACAAAAAAUUUCAACUUCUAAUAAAUCUGCUCAUACUUGUAGAACAAUAAAAACUGACAGAAUCCACUCCAAAGGGAGUUAAUAUUGGUUUCUUACAUUUUCUGUGUCUGUAAUACCAAUG